rnacentral:rRNA from 1 species
AGAGUUUGAUCCUGGCUCAGGAUGAACGCUGGCGGCGUGCUUAACACAUGCAAGUCGAACGAAGUAGCAAUACUUAGUGGCAGACGGGUGAGUAACAUGUAGGUAUCUUCCCUUUGGUGAGGAAUAACACGAGGAAACUUGUGCUAAUACCUCAUAAGUCUUUACGGAGAAAGCUUUAUGCGCCGAAGGAUGAGCCUGCACUUGAUUAGUUUGUUGGUGGGGUAAUGGCCUACCAAGACUUUGAUCUAUAGCUGAUCUGAGAGGAUGAUCAGCCACAUUGGGACUGAGACACGGCCCAAACUCCUACGGGAGGCAGCAGUAGGGAAUAUUGCACAAUGGAGGAAACUCUGAUGCAGCGAUCCCGCGUGAGUGAAGAAGGCCUUUGGGUUGUAAAGCUCUUUCGUCGGGGAAGAAAAUGACUGUACCUGGUAAAGAAACCCCGGCUAACUCCGUGCCAGCCGCCGCGGU